AGAGGGAAGGCUGAUGGGCUGACAGUCUGUUCAGGGCUCCCACAGAGUGAAGCACUCAGCCUGGCACGUGCUCAGUUGGCAUUGAACUGGUGCAGAGGGGCCCUUGAAUACUUUUGGACCACCUCCUGUCCAUCUUCACCUCUUCCUACAAUGCUGCCAACUCCAGCCCUCCCUGAGGAGGCUCAGAAAAUCACAUUCAGCCCUGUGGAGAUAAUCUUGGAACAUUCUCGGCUCUCCUAGAAUGACCUUUACCCUUGAAUACCAAGUGACUGGAGUGGAACUCCAGGACACCUCUGUGUCCCAGCACAAAGAGCUAAGUCUCCAUUCCCCCCCCCACCAAAACCCCAAACCAGAGAUUCCAAUUUCCAAACCAGAGAUGAUACCCCAGUUAGAGUCAGCAGAAGAACCAUGAAUGCUGGAAAGAUAAGUGCUGUGAGGCUCCUGUCCAGGUGAGUGACUGAAGGCCUCGUAAGUCAACACCUUUCUAGUCAGUGAAGGAGCGCAUGGGCUUUUUCAAGUUCUGCUGGUGAGAGUGGUUUUCUAUUUGCUUUGUAUUGUUCAUACCUGACCCAUUCAUAAAAGAGUGAAAAUUGUCCAUUUGGGGGCCCUGGAUUGAAUUAUGGUUUGAAAUUCCAGUUCUUACAAGAAAAAAUGAACAUUUUAAGGAUUCUAAAUGUUGCAUGGGCUUUUUGUUGGCCUUUGGUACUUACCCACAUUCACCAUUUAUCAUGAUGAGAUGCUCUCCAUGCAUUCUCCUUCAGAGGACAUUGACGUUUACAUUCAGGUUCAAGUACAGCAUGUUUAAUGGUGGCAGCUUAACCCCAAAGAAAGGAGUGAGAAGUGGGUGACAAAGAAAACUAUUUGUGUAUCUAGUGUUUUUUAAGACAUUUAUUCAUUCAUUUAACAAAUGGAUUUUUUUUACCCAAUAAGAUUCGCUUUAUUACAAAGAUAAUAUAUGCUCAUUUCAGAAAUUAAAAAAAAUACAGAGACACAAAGAAAACACAGAAGUCCUGAAAUCCCACCUCCCAGGGACAAUCACUAUCAACGUUUGAGUGAGCAUUCUUCCAAGGCUGGCUCCGCACCAUCAUGUGUGGAGAUGUGGAAACACUAUUGUGUGUGCUGUGGUCCUCUGCCUGUUAUUUUGUCCUCAAUCACGUGUCAUGGACAUCUUUCCAUGUCAGUUAAUAAGAUAUAGGUAUAGGCAAAUAUCCAUUCUCUUUAGUGACUGUGUAGUAUUCCGCUGCAUCAACAUAUCAUAAUCUAUUUAACCUGUCCACUAUUGAUAGCUAUUUAGAUUGUUUCCAGAUUUUCAUUAUUCUAAAUAACCCUGCAAUGAAUGACCUUAUACUACAUAUUUGUAAACUUGUCAGGCUAUUUCCUUUGGAUAGCUUCCUAGGAGUGGGCAAAUGAUGAAGUGCAGGAUAUCUAAAAUACAUUAUUUCCUUUCCAUUCACAACAAUCCUGGGUCAUUCAACUAGAUGUAAAAGAAAGUUGAUUUGGUCUUAAAAAGUUAACUGGCAACAUUUUCUCAAAAUCCAUCAGGCCUGUCAGGAAGAUGAACACGAUUUUAGGGUGGGGAUCCAUUUAAUUUCCUCAUCUUCGCUUGGGUUUCUCUGUUGUUUCUACUUCCUUCGGGCCUUUCUGAAAGAUUGAGGGUCUCCUCCUUUUCAGCAUUGAGCUCCUUAGCCCUUAGCUUUCACUCUUUGUAUUUUGGGUUGUCCCAUGUUAGUAUGUCCGAUCAUGGGAACAAAUAAUAACAACAACAAACACUUGCAUAGCAUUUGCAGUGUGCCAGGCAUGCAGAAUCAUAUCUGCUUUUCAAAUAUAAUUCAGUUAAUCUUCCAAAGAGCCUUACGUAGCAAGUUUCAUUAUCUUCACUCUACAGGUGAAGAAAUUGAGGCUCUGAGAGAGUAAGUAGGUGAAGAAAUUGAGUCUCUGAGAGAGUAAGUAGGUGAAGAAAUUGAGUCUCUGAGAGAGUAAGUAGUUUGUCUGAGUUCACACAGCAAGUAAGUGGCUGAGCCAGGAACCAAACCCAUUCAACUUGACUAUGGAGGCUCAUAGCUACACCUCAGCCAAUGUACUUUCUCUCACCAGUUCACACAGGUGUCCACACAGGUGCUGCAUGCUCUAGACCGUCCUAACCCAUCUGCUUCUGUGACCGGCCAGUGGCAUCUGCUCCUCCCCCACCAUCUCAGUUGAAGAAUUAAGAUGAGAUGCCUCCGUGUGUUUGUCUGGCUGAGCUCAACCAACUCAUCCCAGAACAAGCGUUCAUCUGCUUUCCUGUUCAAGGCAAUGAGGAAUAUUUGAGUGGAGUUGAAUUCUUCAAAGAAGUCUUAACCUUCAGGCUGGAGAAGACCAGAACUCCUCUUCCUAAUUUGGAAAUAAUGUCUCUUGUUUAUGGGGUUUGUUUUAAUCAUAAAGUAUCUUGUGUUCAUUUUAGAAAAGAAGAAAGAAGCAAAUAAAAUCACCUGUUAGAGAAAAGUAACUAAUAUUUUGAUGUAUUCCCUUCCAGUACUUACAUAUAUAAGUAUAUAUGUAUGCAUAGUUAUAUAUAUAACUAUAAAGAAAAGAUCAUGCUAUGUACUUGUAUAUAAUUUUGUAUAUUAAUUUUUGUUUAAUUUUGUAUCAUAACUGUUUUCACAUGUCAUUAAAAAUUCUUCAAAAU
rnacentral:lncRNA from 10 species